rnacentral:rRNA from 1 species
UACGAAGGGGGCUAGCGUUGUUCGGAAUUACUGGGCGUAAAGGGCGCGUAGGCGGCUUCGCUAGUCGGGCGUGAAAUGCCUGGGCUUAACCCGGGGAAUUGCGUUCGAUACUUCGAGGCUAGAGUGUGGGGAGAGGUUGGUGGAAAUUUCCCAGUGUAGAGGUGAAAUUCGUAGAUAUUGGGAAGAACACCGGUGGCGAAGGCG